GGCAGGGUAGCUCAGGCGGUUAGAGCGCGGCACUCAUAACGCCGAGGUCGAGGGUUCGAUUCCCUCCCCUGCUACCA
rnacentral:tRNA from 1 species